rfam:Xiphophorus maculatus strain JP 163 A Contig357.37, whole genome shotgun sequence.
ACAACGGCUCUUUUAAGAGCCACCCACACUUCUCAAGACUCAUGCU